AACGUAGGUGGCGAGCGUUAUCCGGAUUUACUGGGCGUAAAGGGUGUGCAGGCGGGCUGUUAAGUGGUGUCUGAAAUAUCCCGGCUCAACCGGGAGAGGUUAUGCCAGACUGGCAGUCUAGAGAGCGAGAGAGGGACGUGGAAUUCCGGGUGUAGUGGUGAAAUGCGUAGAGAUCCGGAGGAACCCCAGAGGCGAAGGCGGCGUCCUGGCUCGCAUCUGACGCUCAGACACGACAGCAUGGGGAGCGAACGGG
rnacentral:rRNA from 1 species